CAGUCGCCGCGGUAAUACGAAGGGGGCUAGCGUUGUUCGGAUUUACUGGGCGUAAAGCGCACGUAGGCGGACUUUUAAGUCAGGGGUGAAAUCCCGGGGCUCAACCCCGGAACUGCCUUUGAUACUGGGUGUCUAGAGUAUGGAAGAGGUGAGUGGAAUUCCGAGUGUAGAGGUAAAAUUCGUAGAUAUUCGGAGGAACACCAGUGGCGAAGGCGGCUCACUGGUCCAUUACUGACGCUGAGGUGCGAAAGCGUGGGGAGCAAACAGGAUUAGAGACCCCAGUAGUCCCUGUCUCUUAUAC
rnacentral:rRNA from 1 species